UUGUCUUCUGAAACACAGUCAUUAUUUAAUUUAAUAUUAUAUAAAUAUUAUAGAUAUUGGAAUAUUAUAAUAUUACAUAACUUAAAAUUCUAUUAAAUAUUAAUAUUUAACACUGAUUAAUAAUAAUGUAACAAAUUUAAUAUACAAUUAAUCUUUUGUAUGUUAAUAGUAAAUAAUGUAAAUAAAAAUGCACAUACUGUAUAUAAAUGUAUGUGUUUUUUUCUAGAAAAUACUGUAAUUUGUGUGUACUGUAUAUAUUAUAAUAAAAUUAUUUAAUAUAUAUUUUAAAUAUUUUACUAUUAAUUAAGACACAGCUCCCUGAGAAACCAGCUAACCUGACGUGUGUGUGUGUGUGUGUGUGUGUGUUCAGGGGCAUGAUGGACGAGGAGGGGAAUCAGUUUGUGGCGGUGUGUGUGUGUGUGUGUGUGUGUUCAGGGGCAUGAUGGACGAGGAGGGGAAGUCAGUUGUGGCGGUAUCCUGCCCAACGAGGACACGAUGCGCAAACGCAAGAGAGAUAGUGGAGGAGGAUCUGGAGUACAUGCCGGAUGAACUGUAUGAUUAUAAGAUCGCUCGCGAGUACAACUGGAACGUGAAGAACAAGGACCAGUAAAGGAAUACGAGGAGAACUACUUCUUCAUCUUCAGAGACGGAGACGGAGUUUAUUAUAAUGAGCUGGAGACCAGGUAACUGUCAAUCACACAGACGGCUCCACCCACUCCGGCUGAGUGUGUGUUACUGACCGUGUGUGUGUGUGUUAGGGUGCGUCUGAGCAAGCGGCGGGCGAAGGUCGGCGCUCAGUCGUCUACGAACGCUGUGCUGGUGUGUAAACACAGAGACAUGAACGAGAAGGAGCUGGAGGCUCAGGUCAGUUCACAUCACACUCAGCUCAGAUCAGAACACCUUUAGAAACAGCACAUCGAGUUCAUCACUGAUCCGUGUGUGUGUGUGUGUGUGUUAGGGUGCGUCUGAGCAAGCGGCGGGCGGAAGGUCGGCGCUCAGUCGUCUACGAACGCUGUGCUGGUGUGUAAACACAGAGACAUGAACGAGAAGGAGCUGGAGGCUCAGGUCAGUUCACAUCACACUCAGCUCAGAUCAGAACACCUUUAGAAACAGCACAUCGAGUUCAUCACUGAUCCGUGUGUGUUUGGUGGACAGGAGGCUCGCAAGGCUCAGCUGGAGAAUCACGAGCC
rnacentral:lncRNA from 1 species